rnacentral:rRNA from 1 species
AUUGCCCUAGUAACGGCGAGUGAAGCGGCAACAGCUCAAAUUUGAAAUCUGGCGUCUUUGGCGUCCGAGUUGUAAUUUGCAGAGGGCGCUUUGGCAUUGGCAGCGGUCCAAGUUCCUUGGAACAGGACGUCACAGAGGGUGAGAAUCCCGUACGUGGUCGCUAGCCUUUACCGUGUAAAGCCCCUUCGACGAGUCGAGUUGUUUGGGAAUGCAGCUCUAAAUGGGAGGUAAAUUUCUUCUAAAGCUAAAUACUGGCCAGAGACCGAUAGCGCACAAGUAGAGUGAUCGAAAGAUGAAAAGCACUUUGGAAAGAGAGUUAAAAAGCACGUGAAAUUGUUGAAAGGGAAGCGCUUGCAGCCAGACUUGCCUGUAGUUGCUCAUCCGGGUUUUUACCCGGUGCACUCUUCUAUAGGCAGGCCAGCAUCAGUUUGGGCGGUUGGAUAAAGGUCUCUGUCACGUACCUCCUCUCGGGGAGAACUUAUAGGGGAGACGUAAUGCAACCAGCCUGGACUGAGGUCCGCGCAUCUGCUAGGAUGCUGGCGUAAUGGCUGUAAGCGGCCCGUCUUGAAACACGGACCAAGGAGUCUAACAUCUAUGCGAGUGUUUGGGUGUCAAGCCCGAGCGCGUAAUGAAAGUGAACGGAGGUGGGAACCUUUCGGGGUGCACCAUCGACCGAUCCUGAUGUCUUCGGAUGGAUUUGAGUAAGAGCAUAGCUGUUGGGACCCGAAAGAUGGUGAACUAUGCUUGAAUAGGGUGAAGCCAGAGGAAACUCUGGUGGAGGCUCGCAGCGGUUCUGACGUGCAAAUCGAUCGUCAAAUUUGGGCAUAGGGGCGAAAGACUAAUCGA